GAGAAGUCAGGCCAGAUUAAGCCAUAGUACGGAAAGAGCUAUGCUGCCUGUGAGCCCCGUCCAAGGACGUAAAAUGAAGUCAGGCCGAAAGCCACGGAUUGAGCAAGCCGUGCUGCCUGUGGCUCCAUCGUGGG
rnacentral:lncRNA from 1 species